AACAUCAAAGCCCAAUCCUUAUUAAUACUCAAAAGUCAAAGAUGGUCUCCAGAUGCAGCUUCGAUUUAACCAUAGUUAGCUUAACACUUAACGGUCUUUUAGUACACUUAUUGUUCUUGGUUCUGGUUGGUCAGUCUUAUGUAACUUCUGCUUGGACUUGUUGCUAUUUUUCGCGCUCUGUGGCUCAAUACUUUCAGAUUUUUACCAAGGUUUCAGAAAUUUAUUUGAAUCAGGUUAUUUAUUAAAUGUGGUUGGAAGUUUUUCAGAUUCUUUGCGAUGAUCCUGGGACCUCUGUAUUCUUCCUCUAUGAGUGAUCACUGAUCACUUUCGUGUUCAAGGUAUACACACUUCAGUAAUACUCUAUCACACAGUUUUUUCCUCUAGAGUUUGGAUGACCUUGAAUGGACUUGUGGAAGAAAAAAAACAGAACAUAUUUUGGAUUUGAUUCUCAGUCACAGUUUUUUUCUCAAAACUAAAUCACAGCAAUUCACUAUUUUGUCAAGCCAAACCUACUAACUGUUACAAUGAUGCAGAAAGGAAAAAGAUCACGCUGAGACUUCACUUGAGUUGCAACACAAAUAGUUUGUGUUCAUCUUUCUUGUUUUCAGCUCGCUGAAGUCUGUAUCUUUUGCCCACUUGACCCUUCUGCUUCUGAUGGGUCAGAGGAUUCUUCUGUUGAGAUUCCAAUACUUUUCUUCAA